GGCAAUGAAGCUCUGACAGGGGAGGACGACAUCAGAUCGUAGCGGCGCCUGGUUAGGGAGUGACGCCCAUGCUGGGUGGUGGGGCCACUGCAAACAAGACCAGCGUCCAGGCCAAUGCUGUGACGCUAAGCACUUGUCACUGCUGGCUCCAGGAGGCCACAGGCACCCUACAGGACACAUCUCACAACCUCUUCCUGGAUUUGGCCAGAAGCAGCCCCUGAAUGCACCUCAACAACUUGAUGGCCAAAACAAAAACCACCUGACGACCUGGCACUGGCAACCAGCCAACCUCAGGCC
rnacentral:lncRNA from 1 species